UACGUAGGGUGCAAGCGUUAAUCGGAAUUACUGGGCGUAAAGCGUGCGCAGGCGGUUAUGUAAGACAGAUGUGAAAUGCCCGGGCUUAACGUCGGUGAACUGCAUUUGUGACUGCAUGGCUAGAGUUUGGCAGAGGGGGGUAGAAUUCCACGUGUAGCAGUGAAAUGCGUAGAGAUGUGGAGGAACACCGAUGGCGAAGGCAGCCCCCUGGGCCGACACUGACGCUCAGGCACGAAAGCGUGGGGAGCAAACAGG
rnacentral:rRNA from 1 species